AGUGAACGCUGGCGGCGUGCCUAAUACAUGCAAGUCUAAGGAAGUAGCGCACGGGUGAGUAAUAUAUGGCUAAUCUGCCCCUUGCUGGAGGACAACAGUUAGAAAUGACUGCGAAUACUCCAUAGGAAGGGAUGAUACUAUCUCGUAUCAGCUAGUCGGUGGGGUAACGGCCUACCGAGGCUAUGACGCGUAACUGGUCUGAUAGGAUGAUCAGUAACCUUGGAACGGAGACACGGUCCAAGCUCCGACGUGAGGCAGCAGGAGGGAAUAGUGCGCAAUGGGGGAAAACCUGACGCAGCAACGCCGCGUGGAGGAUGACACUUUUCGGAGCGUAAACUCCUUUUGUUAGGGAAGCGGUACCUAACGAAUAAGCACCGGCUAACUCCGUGCCAGCAGCCGCGGUAAUUC
rnacentral:rRNA from 1 species